CUCUGGCCUCAAAUCAGGUAGGACUACCCGCUGAACUUAA
rnacentral:rRNA from 1 species